rnacentral:misc_RNA from 1 species
UGGAUGCAUAUAUGCAUUUUGGAGAUAGGCUUUCAAAUUCAGGUUUGGCUCCCUUGCACGUUCCAGGGUAUCUUUCAUCAUUGCUUCCUGUAAUGGAUAUCUUUUAAAUGCAGGUUCAUAGCGGCCUCUGCAGAAACUAUUAAACCAUAUAGUGAGUACUGGCAGGGCAAUGAGAAAUGGUGUCGACUGAGCAGCUUCCUUUGUACUCAACAGUCCAAUCAUAAGCACCUGUGAGAUUAUCAAUGCAAUGAUAACACGCCCAUGAACAUCAGGCCAAAAUGCUGCACCGCUCUCGUACUCUUGGUUGUAAACAUUUAUAAUCUGAUGACGAAACACGACAUAUGCAAAGGCAAAGAAAAUUAUUAUGAAUGGAAGGAGAACUGGUGUCACUGUCGCAUAUACAAGACCUAACAGAAAAUAGAAUUGUAUACGAGGUUCUCCAGUGUUGAAACCAAUGCUUCCUGGAUCCAUUGCCUCUUCCCUAUCCUUUUCAGUCUUAACCAGGAAGAAAUUCUUCAGGUGGAAUAUUAUUAGUGGUUUCAACAUUAAAACUUCUCCUGCUAUUCCAGACCAUCCAUCAACCAUUAUGUACGUUAUGAAGAAAGUUGCUUUCAUUGGAAUAGCC